AGUCGAAGGAGAAGGUAGUUGCUUGCAACUGCUGGAGACUGGCGAACGGGUGAGUAACGCGUAGACAACCUGCCUUUAGCUGGGGGAUAACACUGCGAAAGUGGUGCUAAUACCGCGUAAUGCAGCGGGGCCGCAUGGCCACAGUUGUUAAAGCCUUCGGGCGGCUAAAGAUGGGUCUGCGUGCUAUUAGCUAGUUGGUGCGGUAACGGCGCACCAAGGCGAUGAUAGCUAGGGGGUCUGAGAGGAUGAUCCCCCACACUGGGACUGAGACACGGCCCAGACCUCUACGGAGGGCAGCAGUGAGGAAUCUUGCGCAAUGGGCGAAAGCCUGACGCAGCCACGCCGCGUGUCGGAAGACGGCCCUAUGGGUUGUAAACGACUUUUGUCAGGGAAGAACGGGGAGGUUUUGAUCUCCUGUGACGGUACCUGGUGAAUAAGCACCGGCUAACUCCGUGCCAGCAGCCGCGGUAAUACGGAGGGUGCAAGCGUUGUCCGGAAUCAUUGGGUGUAAAGGGUGCGUAGGCGGAUGUUUAAGUCUGAGGUGAAAUCUUGCCGCUUAACGGUAAAAUGGCCUUGGAUACUGGGCAUCUUGAGUGCAGAAGAGGCAGGUGGAAUUCGUAGUGUAGCGGUGAAAUGCAUAGAUAUUACGAAGAACAUCAGUGGCGAAGGCGGCCUGCUGGUCUGCAACUGACGCUGAGGCACGAAAGCGUGGGGAGCGAACAGGAUUAGAUACCCUGGUAGUCCACGCCGUAAACGAUGCAUACUAGGUGUUGGCCCUGUUGGGUCAGUGCUG
rnacentral:rRNA from 1 species